CUCAUCAGGAGAACAAGAAAAUCCUAGUUCAUAACAUUAACUACUUAUUUGCAUUAUUAUCUCUUUUUGAGAUGUUAAGAUGGGUCAGUUGGUUGAGGGUCCAUACGUUACAAAGUUCUCCAUCAGCUUUUCACCGACCGGUUUUAGCAACUGUUGGUGAUGUUGCCUACUGGUGAAAUAUAAAUUAUUAGGGGCUACAAAAUUGUGACAUUCUAAUUCUACUGUCUCUUCUGCACUUAACUGGAAUUCUCUUAUAAAGAAGAACCUUCCCUCAUCAACUCUUUGGUAUCCUGAAGCACAGCUCGUAUAGAAAAGUUCUUUUCUCUUGCUUACUCUAAUGAAGCAAGCUGCCAUGUUGUGUGCUACCCUAUGGAGAAGUCCAUGUGGAAGAACUAAGGGCAACAUCUGGCCAACAGCCAUCAAGGAAGUGAGGUCCUCAAAGCAACAGUUCAGUGAGGAACUGAAUCCCGCAACAACCACAUGAGUGAGCUUGGAAGUGAAUCCUCCCCAGAUUUAGCCUCGAGAUGGCAUCAGCCCUGCUGGCACCUUGAUUGCAGCCUUGAGAGAGACCCUGAGUUGGAGGACCCAGCGAACCUGCACCUGAAAUCUUAACCCACCGGAACUGAGAUACUAAAUGUGUUGUUUUAAGCUAUUAAGUUUUGACAUCAUUUCUUGUGCAGCAUUAGUUAACAGAUACACCUCCACAGGGGUUGUUUUGUGUAUACUCUUACCUAUUAGAUGACUGUAGGGAGAGUAGAGUGCUGAUUAAUUGACUAAUGACAAGGUCAGUUGGCCAAUGGUCUUGAGUAGCAUUGUGUGGGGCUCUGGCUUUGCCCCGUUCUCCAUUUCAUCAGUGAUUAGGGUGGCUCAUCCUGCACAUGGUGGGAAAAAAUCCAGAACCAGAGAGUCCUCAACCAACUGAAACAAUGACCAAAUUGUUUGGAUUGUUGCAUAACUAAAUUCAAUUCAGCAAAGACUUACUAAGCUUGGUAACAAUCGUCUGUGUGGCGCUACAGGGAGCUGUAGAGGAGGCUGGAGGCCAGAAGGCCCUGCACUCACUGCUAUGAACAGGACCUCAGAGUGUCCCCAGCCCCAAAGUCAAGGAUGGGAUUAAGUCAGGGCUACCAAAUGGCACAGAAGUGCAUAGAGAAAGGCAAGGAAUGAUGUUUAUCAAACCCCCUAAAAAGAAAACAGGAUUGCAGGGGAGGGAAGGGCAUUUUCAAUUGUUGCUCUUUGUCUUUACUCAAAAAGGGCUCCUUAGAAAUGCAGUGACAGUGAGUCAGCACUUGCCUUUAACAAGAUCUCGUGAGGAUUUGUACCUAUCCCGAAGUUUGAGAAACUCUGGCCUAUAUAACUGUAUAGUUUGGUAUUUUAACGUCUUACAGCAAGCACAUAUUCACGUAUUACUUGUAUAAUUAAAAGAUUUUUUUUUAAAGAUUGGCACCUGAGCUAACAUCUGUUGCCAAUCUUUUUUUUUCUUCUCCCCAAAGCCGCCCAGGACAUAGUUGUAUAUUCUAGUUGUUGGUCCUUCUGGCUCUGCUAUGUGGGACGCCGCCUCAGCACGGCCUGAUGAGCGGUGAUAUGUCCACGCCCAGGAUCUGAACCAGCCAAAACCCUGGGCCAGCGAAGCGGAGUAUGUGAACUUAAGCACUCAGCCCCUGGGCUGGCCCCUAAAAGAUGUUUUAAAGAGACGAGACUAUAAGGAAGUUGAAAAUUCAGAGGGGAGAUUGACACCCCUGGAUUGGGUGGGAAGGAAGGAGUCCACAGAGCCAGCCCAGAAAGUGACAGCCUCCUCCAGGCUCUGAGUGCUGCGUAGCUUGUCUCUGAGUAGAACCCCCUACCCCUCUCCCCCACCCGCCCUGAGAGUGAAGCAGGAGGGAAAAGGGGAGAGGUCCGAACAAGCCCCCAGAUUGAAAGCUCCGUUUACAUCACUGCAGUAGCCUCACUAGGCUCGGACCUUCAUGAUUAUGGGCUGAACGAAGGAAAUGGUAAAGGAUUUUAAGUUCUAGAAGUAAUAAUAGCAGAAUGACUGCAAACAAGUGUCCUUGGACUCAUAAUUCUAAGGACAUCGUGACAGCAAGUAGGAAAAAGAGCAAUUCUUUCAACGAUUACCAGCUUCUCUCUUUCCCAAUUCCUUUGGAUAGGCCUCGUGCAAGAAGCCGAUUUCCAGCUGCAUGUGAUGAUGAAAAGAUUUUUUCUUUCUUCUUAUGUUAAAUACAAGCGAAUUGAUUAAAUAGAAGACAGCAUCUGAUUGCUAGGAAAUCAGUGAUUCAGAUAGUAUGGCAAUGGCACCUGGGGCUGGGGGAGGAGCACACAGGAGGGGUAGGAAGCUGGCGCAGCCAUUAAUGCCAAGGACACUCAAGGGCUGGGGGACUAAGCUACGGAGGAGGCAGUAUUUGACAUCACCUGGUCCAGCCUCAUGGUUUACGGGUCCAGGAGGAAACGGCACUGAGUAAGUGGAAGGAAAAUAUUCAGUGUAGGUUUUUCAAAUGCAAGGAAGGAGAUGGGAAUUUACACAGCAGAGGCUGAGGAUCAACCAGAGAAAGCCAAAUAUGCUUCCAACCAAUCACGGAAGAUGCCCCCCUUCUGGUCAGGCCCCCUCCGGCAUCCCAGGCAAAGAACCUCCAAUCACAGCACACCUGGAGCCUCCCUUCCUUUUUUCACCGUAAAGUUUUCCCACUCCCUGCCUGCUUUGAGUCCCUCCCUGCCAAACGCAAGUGAUGGUGGCUGACUCCCUUGCAAGCUCUGAAUGAACAGCCUCUGCUUGUUCUCAUUUGGAUGAUCUUGGUUUAUUUCCACAUCUCCAGCAGGAAGUCUGAAUACAAACUGAAAUACUCAUGAAACCAACACCCAAACCAGGAGGUAGAGCCACGCCCCAGAACACCCAUUCCUGGCUCUAUCCCUCCCAAAGUAACCAUGCUGACUCCCAACACCAUAGAUCAAUUUUGCUUAUUUCUCUAUUUUUCUACAAGUAGAACCAUCCAGCGAGCACUUUUGUGUGUACUGUCUUCUUUUGCUCAACAUCGUGCCUGUGAGAUUUAUCCAUUGUUACGUGUAGCAAUAUUUUCAUUCAUACUCAUUGCUGUAUACUAGUAUUCUACUGUGUGACUACACCACAACUUAUAUAUCCAUUCUACCGUGGAGAGACAUUUAGGUGGAUUCCAGUUUGGGGCAAGUAUGAAGAGCGCAGUGAGGAACAUUCUUGCACAUGUCUUGGUAGACAUAAGCUCUUGUUUCUGUUGUGUAUGUAUCCAGGGGUGGAACUGCUGGGUCUUAGGUUGGCAUGCGCUCAGCUUUAGUAGAUACCGCCAAUUUUACAACAGGGUUUUACCAACUUACAUUUCCCCCAGAGUUUGAGAGUUUCAGUUGCUUUAUAUUUUCGUCAACACUUGAUCUUGUCAGACACUUUCAUUUUAGCCUUUCUGGUGGGUAUCUUUGUAAAUUUAUACUUAAUAUUUUUCUUAUUCCCUAUAGGCUCUAAGUGUUACUGUUUUCUUGGAUUUGGUGGUUAUAAUUAUUAAUAGUAUGUAACUGAUCAAAACAGUUGUCCCUUCCGUCCACCCCCCCUCACGCUUCUGGAACACCUCUUUAGACCACUCACAAUUGUAUUGGAGACAAUGGAAGGGGGUUCUUGGGGUGGGGUCUUUGCUUUAUUAUUCUAUGUCUCCAAGACCUAUCCCAGUACUCUGCACAUAGUAGGUUCAAAAUAGAUAUUUGUUGUAUAAAUACAUGAAAGAAUGAUAUGAAAGUCUAUUUGUAUCCACCACACUUUGUGGGCCAUCCCCAGCCACCGGAGGGUAUGCAGCUGUCUUACUCAUUUUAGGCUUGGACUUGGCACGGGAGAAUCUUUUAAUAAACAAUGUCUGCCAAACCAAACCGGCCUCUGGAGGUCUGGCAUUUUAGGCUUGUGUCCCCUGCCCCACCUCACACGGCCUCAAACCAUUAAGCCUGGGCACACACAGGAUGAUUAUAGUCAUAUUGUUACAACAUCUCUGGGACUAUAUUAACUAUCUAUUGCACAGUAUCACACUAUGACAGCAGGUGGCAGAUCUUGGCACACUGGGCAGAGAUAUGCUGGUGUGAAAUCUCACUUUAAAUGGGGUCCCGGGUCCCAGACACCCAAUCAGCUGUGGGUCAUGGGCGUAGAGAGCAUCCAUCUCUGGGAGUCAGGGUCAGAGAUUUCCCUUGCAUUGUCACCUCUGGUCCUUCCUCCCUCCCAGUCCUGCAGACCAGUUGUUAAUUGGGUCAUAAUGGUACCCCUUUCGUAGGGUCGUUGUGAGG
rnacentral:lncRNA from 1 species